AGUGAACGCUGGCGGCGUGCUUAACACAUGCAAGUCGAACGAGAACGGGAUAAGGCUUGCCUUAUUUGUCAGCUAAGUGGCGCACGGGUGAGUAAUGUAUAGGUAAUGUGCCCUAGAGAGGGGGCUAAUUGAUGGAAACGUCUUGUAACACCCCAUAUGCCUUUAAGUCAAAAGACUGCAAGGGAAAUAUUUAUAGCUCUAGGAUCAGCCUGUAUGGUAUCAGUUAGUUGGUGGGGUAAUGGCCUACCAAGACUAUGACACCUAACUGGUUUGAGAGGAUGAUCAGUCACACUGGAACUGAGACACGGUCCAGACUCCUACGGGAGGCAGCAGUGGGGAAUAUUGCACAAUGGAGGAAACUCUGAUGCAGCAACGCCGCGUGGAGGAUGACACAUUUCGGUGCGUAAACUCCUUUUAUAUAAGAAGAUAAUGACGGUAUUAUAUGAAUAAGCACCGGCUAACUCCGU
rnacentral:rRNA from 1 species